GAUGAAGAACGCAGCGAAAUGCGAUAAGUAAUGUGAAUUGCAGAAUUCAGUGAAUCAUCGAAUCUUUGAACGCACAUUGCGCCCGCCAGUAUUCUGGCGGGCAUGCCUGUUCGAGCGUCAUUUCAACCAUCAAGCCCCAGGCUUGUGUUGGGGACCUGCGGCUGCCGCAGGCCCUGAAAACCAGUGGCGGGCUCGCUGUCACACCGGGCGUAGUAGAUUUUAUCUCGCUCAGGGCGUGCUGCGGGUUCCGGCCGUUAAAAAGCCUUUUUACCCAAGGUUGACCUCGGAUCAGGUAGGAAUACCCGCUGAACUUAAGCAUAUCAAUAAGCGGAGGA
rnacentral:misc_RNA from 1 species